AGGGCAUGUUUUUUCUUUUCAUCUUUUCUUAUAAGACAACAUUUCCAGGUCUUAGGUCUAGUGGAAGCUGCUUCGGAGCCAUGGAGAAAAGGCAGCCUGCGCUGAUUGACCAUGAGCCUAAGUACACUGCAUGAACCUUUGGAAGUACCUCUUCUAUGUCUGCCUGAAGAGAUUCCACUGGCCCUUUAAGCAAGAAACGACUUCACAGUUGAAACCUUGGUUUGGAAGACUCUUGUUUCAAAUCUCGGCAGCAUCCAAUGAGCCCUCCUCAUCAGCUGAUGGUGGUAAGCACCUAGGACUUGGGCCAGUAGAACGAAGGAAAGAAACACAACCAUUUAGUAAAAAGGUACCAUAAAACAUCGGAUCUGCCGUUUGUGGCUGUGGGUGUUUUGGAAUGUGCACACACACGGGGUUUUCCUCUCCCUGCCACCGCCUCCUUCUCUUCUCACUCUUCACACAGAAGUAGCUGCAUAUCAAGAAUUGGUCUUCCCAAAGCCUAGGCUUUCAGGAGAACUUGGAAGUUUUCAGACAAAAAAGAACGGUGUUUGUAAACCAGGGCCUAAAAUGUGCCUCAAGAACUGCAGAAGAGCAAAAUUCGGCAGAGGGAAGAGGAAGGAGCAGAAGAUGGAAGGAGACCGGAAGGAUGUUGUCAAACACAUCAGACUCAGAAGUGGCGCCCGGCCUGCCUGUGUUUUCACGGAAACCAUUCCCAGUCUUUCUUCAUGGCACCAUUGCAGCCUCCCCUUUCACAGAGAUGGUUCCUACCUAAGGAACUUGCCUUCGGAAAUGGAAGACACGAGGGAGGUUACAGGUGGGUCCCGAGACAGAUACUGAAGAUAGAGAACUGGAAAGGGUGAAGCUGAAGAAGACCAGCACAUUUGUGUUCAGAGCUGUCUGUUAUCAUAAGAACAGGCUCAGGCUCCUGCAAGAACAGGCUCAGGAUCCUGCUGCCAGAGACUGAGGUACAGUCGUUUGGCUUCUUAACAAAAGCAAUUCAGCGAUCAGUUUUUUUUUUUUUUUUACCAUACCCAUGUGUGAACAUGUACAUAUAUAUUUGUUUAAUUGUAUUAAAAGCCCAAAUGUCCAACAAUGAUAGACUGGAUUAAGAAAAUGUGGCAUAUAUACACCAUGGAAUACUA
rnacentral:lncRNA from 1 species